rnacentral:rRNA from 1 species
AUUAGACGAAUCAUCUGGAAAGAUGAAUCAAAGAAGGUAAUAAUCCUGUAGUCGAAAAUGUUGUCUCUCUUGAGUGGAUCCUGAGUACGACGGAGCACGUGAAAUUCCGUCGGAAUCUGGGAGGACCAUCUCCUAAGGCUAAAUACUCUCUAGUGACCGAUAGUGAACCAGUACCGUGAGGGAAAGGUGAAAAGCACCCCGGAAGGGGAGUGAAAUAGAACCUGAAACCGUGUGCUUACAAGUAGUCAGAGCCCGUUAAUGGGUGAUGGCGUGCCUUUUGUAGAAUGAACCGGCGAGUUACGAUUUGAUGCAAGGUUAAGCAGUAAAUGUGGAGCCGUAGCGAAAGCGAGUCUGAAUAGGGCGUUUAGUAUUUGGUCGUAGACCCGAAACCAGGUGAUCUACCCUUGGUCAGGUUGAAGU